rfam:Clostridium sp. CAG:413 genomic scaffold, scf275
GGAGAGUUGUCCGAGCUGGUCGAAGGAGCACGAUUGGAAAUCGUGUAAACGUCAAAAGCGUUUCGAGGGUUCGAAUCCCUUGCUCUCCG